UAGGGAAUCUUCGGCAAUGGACGAAAGUCUGACCGAGCAACGCCGCGUGAGUGAAGAAGGUUUUCGGAUCGUAAAACUCUGUUGUUAGAGAAGAACAAGGACGUUAGUAACUGAACGUCCCCUGACGGUAUCUAACCAGAAAGCCACGGCUAACUACGUGCCAGCAGCCGCGGUAAUACGUAGGUGGCAAGCGUUGUCCGGAUUUAUUGGGCGUAAAGCGAGCGCAGGCGGUUUCUUAAGUCUGAUGUGAAAGCCCCCGGCUCAACCGGGGAGGGUCAUUGGAAACUGGGAGACUUGAGUGCAGGAGAGGAGGGUGGAAUUCCAUGUGUAGCGGUAAAAUGCGUAGAUAUAUGGAGGAACACCAGUGGCGAAGGCGGCUCUCUGGUCUGUAACUGACGCUGAGGCUCGAAAGCGUGGGGAGCAAACAGG
rnacentral:rRNA from 1 species